rnacentral:rRNA from 1 species
GCUUAAAAAUUUAAUAGCUUGUAAGGGAUCCCUUGGUAUCCAAAAGCGAUGAAGGACGUGGCUACCGACGAUAUGUUUCGGGGAGCUGGAAGCAAGCUUUGAUCCGGAAAUUUCCGAAUGAGGCAACUCAUUAACUUUUUACUGAAUCUAUAAGUAAAAAGAGCAAACCUGGGGAAUUGAAACAUCUUAGUACUCAGAGGAAAAGAAAGUAAUAACGAUUCUCUUAGUAGCGGCGAGCGAAACGGGAUCUAGUCUAAACGCUUUUCUACUUAAUAGAUAAAGCGGGUCAUUGGGGAAAGAGAAGAGUGAACAUAAAUUCCUUUUAUAGGGUAAAAAAUUAGGUGAAAGAAUUGGAAAAUUCUGCCAAAGAAAGUGAUAGCCUUGUAACCAAAAAUUUUUCCAACUUUUUUUCCCGAGUAACAUGGGUCACGAGGAACCCCGUGUGAAUUUGCGAGGACCACCUCGUAAGACUAAAUAUUCUUGGAUGUCCGAUAGCGAAUAGUACCGCGAGGGAAAGGUGAAAAGAACCCCGGGAGGGGAGUGAAAAAGAACGUGAAAUUGCAAGCUUACAAACAGAAGACGAACGACUUAGCGUUUUACUUCGUGCCUGUUGAAGAAUGUUCCGGCGACUUAUAGGGAGUGGCAGGUUAAGAUAGAGAUAUCGGAGCCAUAGUGAAAGCGAGCUUGAAUAGAGCGAAAGUCACUUUUUAUAGACCCGAACCCGCUUGAUCUAACCAUGGACAGGAUGAAACUGGGGUACAACUUAGUGGAGGUCCGAACCGACUAAUGUUGAAAAAUUAGCGGAUGAGCUGUGGUUAGGGGUGAAAUGCCAAUCGAAAGCGGAGCUAGCUGGUUCUCCCCGAAAUGUAUUUAGGUGCAGCGGUAAAUUUUAAGCGUAGGGGUAAAGCACUGUUUCGAUGCGGGCUGGUAAUUCGGUACCAAAUCAAGGCAAACUCUGAAUACUAUGUGAACAAUUUACCAGUAAGACUACGAGGGAUAAGCUUCGUAGUCAAGAGGGAAACAGCCCAGAUCACCAGCUAAGGCCCCUAAAUAAAUGCUAAGUGAUAAAGGUAGUGGAAAGGCUCAGACAACCAGGAGGUUCGCUUAGAAGCAGCAAUCCUUUAAAAAGUGCGUAAUAGCUUACUGGUCUAGCAAUUUUGCGCCGAAAACUCUUGGGACUAAGCAUUUUGCCGAAGCUGUGAGAUAUCAAUUGAUAUCGGUAGGGGAGCGUUCCAUUAUAGAAUGAAGUAUCAGCGAAAGUGGGUAUGGACGAAAUGGAAGUGAAAAUGUCGGAUUGAGUAGCGAAAACAUUGGUGAGAAUCCAAUGCUCCGAAACCCUAAGGUUUCCUCCGCAAGGCUCGUCCACGGGGGGUUAGUCAGGACCUAAGGUGAGGCUGAAAAGCGUAAUCGAUGGACAAUAGGUUAAUAUUCCUAUACUGAUUAUUACUGGUAUCGAGGGACGAAGAAGGCUACACUAGCCAGAUAGUGGUAACUGGUUCAAAUCUUCGAGGUGUUGAAAAUUAGAGAAAAUAAUUUGAGCUGAGAGAUGAGUACAAGAUUAAAAAUCAAAGUAGUGAAUGUCAUACUUCCAAGAAAAGCUCGCAAUGCCAUUUAAAGUAAUAAUUACCUGUACCUUAAACCGACACAGGUAGGGAGGUAGAGAAUACCAAGGAGCGCGAGAGAACCCUCCUUAAGGAACUCGGCAAAAUAGCUCUGUAACUUCGGGAGAAAGAGUGCCCUAUGGGCUGCAAUAUCAAGUUCCAAGCAACUGUUUAGCAAAAACACAGGUCUCCGCUAAGUUGCAAAACGAUGUAUGGGGGCUGACGCCUGCCCAGUGCCGGAAGGUUAAAGAAGUUGGUUAGCGUAAGCAAAGCUAGCGACUGAAGCCCCGGUGAACGGCGGCCGUAACUAUAACGGUCCUAAGGUAGCGAAAUUCCUUGUC